GUAAAGAGCCGCUUCCUGCUGCGGCAUGGGGCAAAGCAGUUAAGAGGCGGGAAAAGCUGCUUCCUGCCGCGACAGCGCAGAUCGUGGGGCAAAUUAGUUAAGAGGCGGGAACUGGGUCUAAAAGACGGGCUCCUUCCUUUCGGCAAGGAGAUAAAAUGGGAAAAUGAGACGCGCGGACACCCAAAAGGGUCCUGCUCCAGGUGAGGCUCGAACUCACAACCUCGGCAUCGCUCUGCAUGUACUGCUGUAUAAGUACCGCGCGCUAACCGAUUGCGCCACUGGAGCUCCGCUGAGCCGGCCGCGCGAUGGCUCUAUCAGGGCUCCUUACGCCCGCCGUGGAGCAUGCGCAAUCGCCCUAGCUCGGACCCGCGCUCUCUGCAACUCGGGCCGCGCUCUCGGGUGUGGUGCGGCACGCGGAUCCCAACCAGCCGGGAGUGCUGAAUUAAAAUGUGAACAUUUGUGUUGUUGGCCCAGGACCGUCUUCAUCUUACCUGACUACUCCACCCGGAACCAGCUUACUCCUGGGCCUCCUCCUGACCUCCUAGCGGCUGCCACCUCCGAAGUCCUUCCACCCACCCACCCAGCCCACUCUUUCUCCAGCUUGUCUCGAACAUCUUGUCUCCUGAGCACCUGUCACCUUGUUCCUGACCCCUCUACUUACCUAGGAGAGCCAGGAGACCAAACAGCAGGGUGACUUAGGCGCUCGAUGCAAGGACCAGCAUGGGCAAGCCAUGGAAGCAGAACUCCAGAGCAUCACCAGUGCCAUGUGGAGGAAAUGUAAUCUGCUCAGAUCCACGUGGUAAACUGAGGCAGCACAGAGCCUUUUACUCUGGGUUGAAGCCAAAAAGAAGAAAUGGUGUGGGCUGGCGAUUUGGCUCAGUGGUUCCGCCGCCUGCCUCACGAGUGCAAGGUCCCGAGUUUGAUCCUCGGUACCAAAAAAAAGAAGAAGAAAAAGAAGAAAUGGUGAGAGCCAGUCAGGCGGGGAAACAUCCAGAAGGUUGGUAACUCCCAGUGUUGGAAAGAGCAUGGGGAAAUGAACACUGUUUGGUUUGGUUUGGUUUUGAAGAUAGUUUAGCAGAAUCUGUCAAAGUUUAAAAUACAUGUAUCAGUUUGACCCAACACAUCUGAUAGGAUUCUCCCCUAUAGAAGCACCCAUACUUGGAUGGAGAAAAGCUACCCUUUUAACUAUAUUGUAGUAUUUUCAUGUCACUUAAUGUUUUGGCUUAGUUUUGAGGUUCUUUAGUUUGUUACUGGGAAUCAAACACAGGGCCUUGGGCAUGAUAGGUAAGUGCUCUACCACUAAGAUACAUCCCCAGCCCUAGAAUUUUUAUUUUUAUACUUAUUAAAAUAGCUUUUUUAGGAAGACUCAGAUGUGCUUUCUUUUUUAUCAUAUAUUCCUCUUGGCAGCCACUGCUUUCUGCUCAGCUUCUCAGCAUCUCAGUUACUUCCACCUACAAAUCAG
rnacentral:tRNA from 1 species